rnacentral:tRNA from 1 species
GGCUCUGUGGCGCAAUGGAUAGCGCAUUGGACUUCUAGCGCAGCUCGAAGAGAUAUUCAAAGGUUGUGGGUUCGAGUCCCGCCAGAGUCG